GUGCUGCUCUGAGGUGCCGCCCUGUGUGGCAUCUUCUAUCUUCUGGCUGCAGAGGCUCUCCCUGCUGUGUGCUCAACAACCUUUGAACCCUAAGUGCUGUCCAUGCAGAUGAGGCAAAGGGAAUUUCCCAGGUUCUGGGAUUAGGAUGUGGACCUCUUCAGGAACCAUUCUUCUGCCUAUCACAAUGGAUGCCCAGAGGCCUAAGAGAUUGUUUUCGAGCAGAGGAGAGAUGACAGAACCCAGACCAGCCCAGAGAAGAAGGACAAGCAGAAGGGAUGGGCAAGGAAAGACAAACAACAUGGCCUGAUUCAGAGACACUGGCUGAGCGAGCAGGAUAAGAAAAUAACAACAGGGAACAGAUGAGGACCCCUGGUCCAGCAUGGUCUGAGUACAUAGGAAACCUCAAUGAAUGCUAAAUAGUUGGAUGGAUGAAUAGAUGGGCACUCAUCUACAGGAUUCUGAUACAGUCAUGGCAUGCACCACAUUGUCUCAUCUUGGGACUAAACAUCCCAGUAUGACAGCUAGGAAGGAUUCAAUUAAUCCCUAUUCAUUAAUUCAAGGCAGCAUAAGAGAUGAUCCAGGGUGUGGCUUCAGGAGUCAGGCUGCCUGAAUUCAAAUUCCUAUUCCAAGAUUUCCUAGCUGUUCUACCUUGGGAAAGUUGCUAUAUCUCCCUGAGUCUCAAUUUCUCCAUUUGCAAAGCAGAAAUAAUGAGAGUACCAACACAUAGCGUGGUUGUGAGAAUUAGAUUAUUUAUAUUAAGUGCUUAACACAGUGCUUGGUGGAUAGAGAAAACUAAAAAUAAUAUUAAUUAUUAUUAUAAAUUACUAUUAAUUUCA
rnacentral:lncRNA from 1 species